rnacentral:rRNA from 1 species
UUAUACCGUGAAACUGCGAAUGGCUCAUUAAAUCAGUUAUCGUUUAUUUGAUAGUACCUUACUACUUGGAUAACCGUGGUAAUUCUAGAGCUAAUACAUGCUAAAAACCCCGACUUCGGAAGGGGUGUAUUUAUUAGAUAAAAAACCAAUGCCCUUCGGGGCUCCUUGGUGAAUCAUAAUAACUUAACGGAUCGCAUGGCCUUGCGCCGGCGACGGUUCAUUCAAAUUUCUGCCCUAUCAACUUUCGAUUGUAGGGUAUUGGCCUACAAUGGUAUCAACGGGUAACGGGGAAUUAGGGUUCGAUUCCGGAGAGGGAGCCUGAGAAACGGCUACCACAUCCAAGGAAGGCAGCAGGCGCGCAAAUUACCCAAUCCCGACACGGGGAGGUAGUGACAAUAAAUACUGAUACAGGGCUCUUUUGGGUCUUGUAAUUGGAAUGAGUACAAUUUAAAUCCCUUAACGAGGAACAAUUGGAGGGCAAGUCUGGUGCCAGCAGCCGCGGUAAUUCCAGCUCCAAUAGCGUAUAUUAAAGUUGUUGCAGUUAAAAAGCUCGUAGUUGAACCUUGGGCCUGGCUGGCCGGUCCGCCUCACCGCGUGCACUGGUCCGGCCGGGCCUUUCCUUCUGGAGAACCGCAUGCCCUUCACUGGGUGUGUCGGGGAACCAGGACUUUUACUUUGAAAAAAUUAGAGUGUUCAAAGCAGGCCUUUGCUCGAAUACAUUAGCAUGGAAUAAUAGAAUAGGACGUGCGGUCCUAUUUUGUUGGUUUCUAGGACCGCCGUAAUGAUUAAUAGGGAUAGUCGGGGGCAUCAGUAUUCAAUUGUCAGAGGUGAAAUUCUUGGAUUUAUUGAAGACUAACUACUGCGAAAGCAUUUGCCAAGGAUGUUUUCAUUAAUCAGUGAACGAAAGUUAGGGGAUCGAAGACGAUCAGAUACCGUCGUAGUCUUAACCGUAAACGAUGCCGACUAGGGAUCGGGCGAUGUUAUUAUUUUGACUC